UCCUACGGGUGGCUGCAGUCGAGGAUUUUCGUCAAUGGGCGCAAGCCUGAACGAGCGACGCCGCGUGCGGGAUGAAGGCCUUCGGGUUGUAAACCGCUGUCAGUGGGGAGGAAAUGCAUGUGGGUACUCCCACGUGUUUGACUAAUCCGCAGAGGAAGUGUGGGCUAAGCUCGUGCCAGCAGCCGCGGUAAGACGAGCCACACAAACGUUAUUCGGAAUCACUGGGCUUAAAGGGUGCGUAGGCUGUGCAGAAAGUUGGGUGUGAAAUCCGACAGCUUAACUGUCGAAGUGCACUCAAAACUACUGUGCUCGAGGAAGACAGAGGUAAGCGGAACUGAGGGUGGAGCGGUGAAAUGCGUUGAUAUCCUCAGGAACACCGGUGGCGAAGGCGGCUUACUGGGUCUUUUCUGACGCUGAGGCACGAAAGCUAGGGGAGCGAACGGGAUUAGAUACCCUAGUAGUC
rnacentral:rRNA from 1 species